CCUAGACGAUAAGUUAGACCAGCUUAGCAGAGCUCAGGCAAAAAAGUAGAUACAGUGUUCGAAUAAAGGAUAUAACAAUACAUCGUGUAGCAUAGCUCUUACCGAAUGUAGUCCUAUGAAUAAGUGAAUAAAUAAAUUGUGUAAGAAAAUUCCUCUGGCGGGACUCGAACCUGUCAAGGUGAGCGUCAUAACCAUUAGACCACAAAGCAUUUACAGUUACAGUAUGCAAGUACACAUGUAUUCCAGGACCCUCGUGUAAAAAGCGAUGCAAGAAUAGUGGAGCAUGUGUGAUUCGCAACAAUGUGGAAGAAUGUGAAUGUCCAAGAUUGGAGGGCGAAUAUUGUGAAAUAGAUCCGAAUUCCAGCAGCCAGUUUCAUCUGUAGAGGCGUAACAAUUGGAAUGUUCUUUGUGCGCAUCAUUGUUGGAGUAAUCGGAGUAAUUGCUGUAUUAAUCGGCUACACCAGGAUUAAGCAGAACAAAGGCGUUGACAAGAGAAGUGUUGAGAAUCGAAAACAAGAUACGUACAUGGAAUACAUGGCAGAUAUACCUACUGGCAAUGACAACCAAACUUAUCAAGAUUUACAACAUAAAGAAAACGCUUAUGU
rnacentral:misc_RNA from 1 species